GUUCCAGGACUGAAUCUCCGUCGAACUGAAGGCGAGGAAGACGAGCCACGUGACGGUGUACAUAACGCCGGUCAUCCAGAACACUGUCUGCCACUCCUGAAGGGAUGUAACGUUUCUCCUCCUGGCUGAUCCGCGGGUGCUCGCUGGGGCAGUCGUGCAUCAGGAGGGCCCAGGCGGCAACCCACACCAGGGACGCCGCGCCGCUGAUGUAGAAAACAGCGGGCCACCCCAUCGUGUCGGCCACCACGGCGCACACGGCUGCUGAAUGCAUGGUCGGGGUUGGAGAACUCAGUAUUUUAGUGGCAGCUGCUGCUCGCCCUGGCUAAAUACGCUGUCAGACUUCUGACGCAGCAAGGAUACAGCACGCGAUAAAAUACUUCAAGCACGAGUACUAAGUCCUACAAACCAUCUAUCAGGGGGAAGUGAAAUGAAGAUGACAGCAGCGCGCAAGUGGAAAUGCAGUGGAAUAAAGAAGAAAAGAAAGACGAGAAGGAAUAUAAAGAACGCCAUGAGAGAGGGAGGGGAAGGAGAAAGACCAACAAGAAGAUAAAACAUGAAGACAUCUCACAUUGGUGGCGAAGUAGCCGUAGAAGAAGGCACCGAGGACCAUCCCCUUCUCCGUACCCGUCAAGGACAGCUGUGAGGACCAAAACAAAGCACUACAGACCAUCCCAAGCCCGGUACCAAAAAAUCCUGCUGAUCAAACAUGGACACACUGACAGGAACUCAACAUCACACCCACAUUCACACACCCGAGAGGCGGGACACAGCCACGACUCACACCCGCCACCCGAUUUCAAGCAACUGAAAGAAACCGUCCCUGAGCCAGACUGUCCAAAAGGGUCGAACCAGCUGAGCAUGGCGACGACGUGCUUCCUGCUCCUCCUCCUCCUCUCGGCGGCCAAGACGUCAUCACACCGUAGCCUCCUGAUAGUUUGUUGCUAGUCUCUGGUUUGAAGGAGAGUGAGGCAUCAACAAGAGAGGUUAUCACUCACCCAGGACCUGUGCCUUGGCCUGGAGGCUGGUAAGGGAGGCCACCUCAGGCCAGGCUGACUGUACCAUGUUGACCCACUGUGGUGGCUUGACGUCCCGCACAGUGAGGGCUGGUUUGGGCAGCAGGUACUUCACUUCCUUCAUGGUGGGCACCUCCUCAAGGUCAGCGGCACGGUGCAGCAGUGCCGCCACCUUGGCUAUGUCAUACUGCAGCAUAGGCCAUGAAAGAUAGUAGCAGCCCCAAGUGACGUGACUCACAAUGACUUCCUGCUGCAGCUGCUCCCCUGGUGUGACGAGCAGAAGGCCUUCUAGGUAGUCUGGGGCAAUCUGGUUAAACACGACCUCAUAGUAGAGAGGAUUGUCCAGACGCAGAGGGUAGUACCAAACACUCCGGCAGAAGAUCAAGUAGAACACCUGUUCAAGAUGUCAAAAGAAGUGAGGUAGCAGUGGUUGAAAAGCAGAUACCAAGAGACUUAACUGAUGUGAACAUUCUUCUCUAUCCUAUAAGUUUUAGACUAAAUGUUCUGCUGGAAAAAAAAACAAGUGCUAGACAUACAGAAAGGAACAAGGGGCACAAAGAUAGCUCAGUGGGCUGCUAAACACUCCAGCCUUAGAUUUCAUACAAGGUCAAGCAAGUGUUGAAUCUGUAUAUCAUCUAAUCCAAAAGCAACACACAUAAAUUAUGCUGAAUCCUCACAAAUAAAAUGUAUAAAAUGAUUAAUAAACAGCACUAUCCUCCUUGC